rnacentral:rRNA from 1 species
UACGGAGGGUGCAAGCGUUAUCCGGAUUCACUGGGCUUAAAGGGUGCGUAGGCGGGCCUUUAAGUCAGUGGUGAAAUACCUGAGCUUAACUUGGGAACUGCCAUUGAUACUAUUUGUCUUGAAUGUCGUGGAGGUUAGCGGAAUAUGUCAUGUAGCGGUGAAAUGCUUAGAUAUGACAUAGAACACCUAUUGCGAAGGCAGCUAACUACGCGAAUAUUGACGCUGAGGCACGAAAGCGUGGGGAGCAAACAGG